rnacentral:lncRNA from 10 species
AAGACAUCUCAUCAGGAUGAACUGGGGCAAGGCAGCCUCCAGAAACACACCUGGGUCUCUGGGCAGUCAUCUGCAGGCGAUUGCCUCCAGGUGUUUGCCAGUGGGAACCCAUUGAAAGUCGAUGCAAUUUAGAGCAAUUUCUCUGGCAGUGGAAAUUAACCUGCAGGAAUCUGCCGGCAACAGGUGUAUUUUAGGGCAGACAUACCAGCGUCCUGCACUGUGGAGACAGGACUUUGACUACCAGGUGUAGUGCAGAAGGCUGGAUAAUUGGAGGAGGCAGAAAAUUAGUGCAGAGAAGAUGGCCAAAUUGCAGAUGGUGAGUGCCCCCCAAUGGUGAGUGCAUGUGCCAGCCAUGAUAGAUGGGAGUGGGAUGAUCCUCAGGCCCCUGGCAGAGAGUUCAGUUUCUGAGGUCAUCAGAGAAGAUUUGCCAGAGGCUUUCGCUUACCCAAGGGAAGUAAUGUUAAAGGGUCAUGUGUUUUUCUGAAGCAAAGUAUCGCUUUUACAGAGAAAUGGCUGCUACCUAGGGCCAGUGCCUUCACAGUGAGUGCCAAUGUGUUUCACAGUCCAUGCUCACCUCUGGUAAUUUCCAAAAUCUGUCAUCAAAAUGAUCCAGAUCAUGAACUCAGAGAGAAACAACCCAUACUGGCUUGUCUGACCUCCCUGAUAGUCUAUCAACGAGAUUGAUUCUAUCUCAGUCUUACGGAUGCAAUUCUUCAUAUCCAAAAGAUACUGCCAUUUGUAGCACUUGUUCUAAGGCAGCAAAAGCAGCAGGAAGGACCAAUUCUACCUACAGCACAGGAUUCCAGAGAUGUCUUGAUUUUUAUUAAUGUUGGUUUCAAUGGAUGUUCCCCAGGUUUGUAAUGAGAUUUUAAUAUUGAGAAAAUCUCUGUCUUUGGCUCCUAGUUGAGUCAAUAGCAUGACUCAACUUGCUUUUUUCAUGAGUCUGUCCUUAGUAGCAGUGCAAUAAGUGACAAGUUACUUGACUCAUCUAAGGUCCACAUUCGUCUUCUGUUAAACAUGGGAGGUGUUUGUGUGAACUGAAUAAAGCAAUGUGUGAAAAGGUAUUUGGAAGACUAUGUAACGCUUUAUAAAUGGCAGGUAUUGUAUAUGUUUAUUUGAAAUAAAUUAAUACAUGCUUCACAAUUAGGCUAGCCAUAGUACUGAUUAGCAUGCUAGGAAUAGUAUAAUGAUUAGCUCAGGUUAAGAGCACUCUCUGGAGUCAGACUGCCUGGAUUCAAAUCCUGGCUCCUCCACUUGAGCUGGGUGACCUUGAAAAUGUUCUUAACCUCUGUGUCAGUCUUCUCAGCUGUAAAGUGGUGCUAAUUAAAGUGCCUAUCUCAAAGAGCGGUUUAGAGGACUUAAUAGUUGAUAGAUCUAAAGUACUUAGAACAUUUCCUGGCAUAGAGUAAGUGCUCAUGAAAUAUUAGCUAUUAUCAUCAUCAUCGUCAUCAUCUGAGGUAAAAUUUGAACUAUGAAAAUAAGUGAUGAAGCUAUUUGUAAGAGAGGACUGCUUUUACCUUGGAGUUUAUUCUUUUAUGCUUUUGGAAACCAAGUAAUUACUUGUAUUAUUAUAUUACUACUACAUUUUUUCGAGACAGAGUCUCACUCUGUCACCCAGGCUGGAAUGUGGUGGCGUAAUCUUGGCUCACUGCAACCUCCACCUCUGGAGUUCAAGUGAUUGUCCUGCCUCAGCCUCCCAAGUGGCUGGGACUACAGGUGUGUGCCACCACGCCUUGUAUUUUUAGUAGAGAUGGGGUUUUGCCAUGUUGGCGAGGCUGGUCUUGAACUCCUGACCUCAGGUGAUCUGCCCACCUCGGCCUCCCAAACUACUGGAAUUACAAGCAUAAGUCACCACACCUGGCCACAUUACUAUUACAUUUAUUUGAAAAUUAUUCAAGCAUUAUGCCCACAUGAGAUGCGUGAGGCUUAAAUGUGAGUGUUGUCAACUGUAACAAAACUCCAGUAUAUUUGUUUCAAAUAAUAUAAAUCUCUUUAUUUUCAAAACAAACUAACUAGCUGAAAUAGAAGCCUCCUGUAAGCCUAUGUCCCCUAGUCAAAUUCUUUACUUCAGCAAGACUAAUCUAUGAAGAAUUUAGGCAUUUGGAACCUCUACCUCUGAACUUGUACUUUACAGUUAAAACAAUGUGACUUCCUUUGGCAUUUAAAUCUUUAUGAUAAUUUUCAGUAAAUAUUAUCCCUGAAUAAUUAUUAUGUGGUUUUUUUCAACAUCUAUAAUUACCCAAUUUGGAAAUAAGUUAGAGAUUCUCCCUAGCCCAAGUUGAACUUAAAUUGACCAAAUUUAUGAAUGUCAUUUCUUCAUAUCACUACGAUUCAACCAAGACAGUUUGGAGAAGCAAUCUGAAAUAUGUUUUCACUCCUCCUGGUAAAUGAAUGAGAUAGAAAACUAACCUGACUUUUAAAAUCAUGUUUUAAAGACUACAUAGAGCUCAAAAUGUCCAUGGUGUGGCAUUAAAUGAAAAAAUAAAUCAAGUAAAAUAAUAUUGUAAUAUUUAAAAAGCACUUUAAUAUAAAAAGUUCUUAUGCUAGAUAUGAAAAUGAUAGUAAAAUGAGAGCAGGGAUCAAUUAAUUCUAAGGUAUGGAUUAUUUUCAUAUUUUUCCUUACACAUAAGGACGUAUGUGACAAUAAUUUUAAAUUUUCCUUUAAGCAAUAUAAAUUAUUAUUAUUAUCUGGAAUAGAAAACAGACAGCAACAAUAUGACAACAAUGAAAUAUUUUUCAGGUUUGGUUAUGCUAAGUAGAAGAUACAGAUUUGUAAUGCCUAAAUUCUCACACUUCUAAUCCUACAGUCCAAUUAUUCUGUUAACCAGGCAUUUGCUACAAUGUGCUCUGAAGAAAUGGAUUGGAAAUAAACAAAUAAAUAAAUAAAUAAAUAAUUCCACAGGAGGAAAAAAAUGCGUUCUGAAAGGAUCAGGAUUUUCAAAGCCCCCAAGCUUCAACAUAUCCGAGGAUCGAAGGCCUGAAUAAAGUGGCAUCACAGAAGUGUGAGAACAGCCUUUCCCCAUUCUCCGGAGUGGAUCCAUGAGCCAGGAGUCAGGCCUGCACUUUGAGGAGCGGAAGUGCUUUUGUGAGGACAAGCAAGAAUGUCUUGUAAUUUCAACUACCCUUAAAGCUGUUUCAGGGUUCCCUGAUAAUGAACUAACUGAUACUGGGACUUCCCUUCUCCAUCCCCCAAAGAAAAGCUGCGUUCCAACUCAACACCUCAUAGAACCAGAGCCCCCUAAUAUCCCUAGGUGUGGGCAGCUGGCAUUCCCCAACAUUCCCCUAACACCCAGCACCUAAGCUAAGAAUGCUUGGGGCCUGAACCCCAAAUGUUUAUUCAGCCAUGUAAAGCCACUUGCACACUUGUCCUAUAAAAAAGGAAAGCAACAGAAUGUUUUUCUCCUCUUGGAGCAGAGCCCCACAGUGAAUCUAGCAAUGCACUGGCUCAAACAUGCCCCCUUUUCAGCAGCAUGCUGAAAGAAAUAGGAUCCAUGCGUCAGCUGGAAUUUCUAUCUCUGAGUUUCUACCUAAACUAAGUGAUACUUUCUGUUAUUCCCAGUCACAUCAAAACAAAUGUGAGAUUCAAAUUUUAAACUGGGCUAUACUGUAACAAAUUAGACUUGACUCUUUUUGUUUUGUUUUGUUUAAAUAACAGAAAGUGACUAGAAAACUAUAGGAUCCACCUAAGAUGCUAAGACAUGGCAAAGUGAGACCAAACAUAGCACAACAAAUAGUUGGAGACAAAAUAAAAGCAUUUUACAUUUGUGCACUACAAUGUUCAGGCUAUUCAACACACUGAUUUCACACAUACAGUCCCAUUUAUUGCCAACAAUAACCCUGCAAAGUAGGUACUAUUAUUGGGCACAUUUUACAUAUAAAACGACUUAAAAUUAGAGGAGGUAGUAUAUAUUUUCCUAAUUUUUGGCAGCCCAGCAUCUAAAGCCCUUUUCUAUGCUUGAAGAAUGCCCUGCCUUAUGAGUGAGUCUUGCUGGAAAGAAGAGACCAGCUUCCAAUAUAAAAACUGAAAAUACCAAAUACUUUUCCCAUAUUCCCUGAUAACUAUCACACUGACAUUAGAAGAGUCUCCACCAACAGAUGUGAGCAUGCCAGUUUUCCCCAGAAUCUAAAGAUACAAAGAAAGAGGAUUUUUGUGGGAAACCACUCUGGUGAAAAUGCCAGUGGAAGUCCUACACUGAACCCGAUUUCCAGUGGCAAGAAUUUUAGUGGCUCCAGCAGCGAUGCCCAGUGCUCCGUGACUAUGGGUUCACAAUGUACACAAACUGGUUGGGCCACUGCAGAUGAAAGAGAUGGCUUCAAGUGCUCAGUUAUGUGUCUUGAUUGGUAAUGUGGCCAUUGGCUGGGUAAUGUCCACACUGCUUCUCUGGCCCUUUUGAAGUGUCUGUUAGCCAUAAUAACUAGAUUUAUUUUCUGAUUAAAUUAGCUAGAAUUAGGUUCUGACUGACUUAGGAUAAGUAAUUGCUCUCUGAUCACACAUAGAGCAAAUGAUGGAGCUGGAAUUCCAGUCUUCACUAGGUUAUACUGAAUGAUGAGAUAAUGUUAUGGGCUGAAUUCAUGUGUUGAAGUCCUCAUCUCCAGAACCUCAGAAUGUCUGUAUUUGGAGAAGAGUUUUUAAUGUUGUAAUUCAGUGAAAGUGAGGUCAGUAGGGUGGCUAUAAUUCAAUAUGACCUGAAUCCUUACGAGAAUGAAAAUCUGGACACAGAAAUCCGUGUGGGAGGCCAUGUGAAGACACGGAGAAAGCAUCCAUCUGUGAGCCAAAGAGAGAGGCCUCAGAAGAAACCACCCCUGCAGACACCUUGUAAUUGGACGUCUAGCCUUCAGAACUGUGAAACAGGAAAUUUCUGUUAUUUAAGCCACCCAGUCUAUGGUACUUUGUUAUGGCAGUCCUAAUAAACUAAUACCAGGAAUGAGGAAUACGAAAGAAUUCAAGAUGAUCUCAAAGUUGCUCAAUGAGGUGACUUUAGAAAAGAUGAAGGGUAUGAGAGGAGUAGCCAUUGCAGAAGGAGAACAAGAUCAUGAAUUCAAUUCAGAAAACUUUGAUUUUGAGACCUCUGCAGGAGAAAAUAAGAGAAAGCUUCAAAGGCCUAGCUUCCUUUAUAGAGUCCUGGGAGAGACCUAAAGUUGAGGAAUAGAGAGAAAAGGCACCUCUGGAUACUCACUGGCAUUGGAUCCAGCUCUGAGUUGCUUGCUUUCUGGGCUUCAGAAUGACAAAGCAGGUUUAUGCACAGAGUUUUUCAAUAAGCAAGUCCCCACUGAAGGUCACAGGCCUAUUUCAGCAGUGGGAGAAACCACAGUCAGCAGUAUUGGGCCAUGCAAGUGAAGGGUUGUUCACUGGAGAGGUUUGUUACCUUAUUGGGAAGAUGAAGUUUUCAUCCAGCAUUAAGCCUAUGGCUAUAAUUCAGGGAUGAGACAAGGGUGUUUGCAUUUGUUAGCAUGAAGACAAACAAAUCCAACACCCUUAGGUCAGAAUUUCAGCUUAACAUGGUAUCUUGUGCUUGAAUAUCCCUUGCAACCUCUCCUGACUUUCCACUUUCCAAAGUGAGUCUUUUAAAAUGCUCACGUUUUGGCUCACACCUGUAAUCCCAGCACUUUGGGAGGCCGAGGCGGGCGGAUCACGAGAUCAGGAGAUCAAGACCACGGUGAAACCCCGUCUCUACUAAAAUACAAAAAAUUAACCGGGCGUGGUGGUGGGCUCCUGUAGUCCCAGCUACUCGGGAGGCUGAGGCAGGAGAAUGACGUGAACCCCGAAGGCGGAGCUUGCAGUGAGCCGAGAUUUCGCCACUGCACUCCAGCCUGGGCGACACUGCGAGACUCCGUCUCAAAAAAAAAAAAAAAAAAAAAAAAAAAAAGGCCACGUUUAUUGGUCUUAUGCCUAUAAAAAAAGUCUAUGUGGACAACCACUCAUUGAUUCAAUAAAUAAUGCUUAAGUGCUUACUCUGUGCCAGGAUUCUGAAAGGCACUGUGGGUAAAUGGUAGGCAAAUCUAAACCUGGUCCUGCCUUCAGAGAGUCUACUGUUUGAACGGAAAAAGAAGAGAAUGAGGCCAAACAAGAGGUUGUUCACCUGAGGAAAUGGAUGGGAGCUGGGCAAGCCUACCUGGCAGAGGCUCACCUGGCUGAGUACCUAUGAAAUUGCCAUGGAUGAUCUCAAAAUUCAAAGAAAAGUCCAGUGCAUAUAAAUAAAAACCUUGAAAACACAAAUUCAUAGGCAAAAGGCUGAGAGGCCACAUAAAUUACUUUUAGUGAAAACAACAAAUAAUAUUAGUAUUAUUUCUGUUUCAGUAUUCAAGGCAGUGGUGAUGGGAACUUGAGGGCAUGAGAAUCAGGGCAAAGAGAAUUACUGAAAGAGUAAAACUAUCUUAAAGAUGUGAGGUUGGCCACUGAUGGAGAGGACAAGCAGGACAGGGAUCGGGGGACCAAAGUCCAGCUGCACUGACUCCAUUCAGCUCUGCUCUGUUCACCCUCAUCCCAAACCUGUCCCCAUCCCCAGACAAAUAGAAGCUGUGGACAAAGAUUGUUUUUGCCCUCCACAUCUCCAAUACUCUGUUUUCAAAUGACUGCAACCAACCCAACAAAAGAACUCACUUAACAUAUUAGUAGUAUCUUAAAUGAUGCAAUUUUAUCUUGUCCAUGAAAUAGCUUCAAUUAAAACAAAUUAUCUCUUUCCAUUCAUAGCUUAAUUCAUAUAGCACAUCUGAUAGAGCCUUUUUAAAUGCUCACUUUUAUUGGUCUUAUUUCAAAAUUAAUUCAUGUUUAUAGUCUAGCAUUUAGAAAAUUCCAAGGCAAAGCAGGCUACAUUUGUGUGUUUCCUCUUGGUGUCUCCAGUGCCCCAUGCCGCCACUGCACAGAGGACAUUAAGCAUUGAACACAGAGAACUAAACCACUUAAGGAACCACCCAUAAUCUCAAUACCAAUAGAUACUUACCCUCACUUUUUUGAUAUGUUUUUUCCAGUCACUUGUGUAUGUAAGCAUACAUACAAAAACAGGUGUGUGUGUGUGUGUAAAAAUGUGUGUUUACAGAGUUCGUUUUACAGGAAAGCACAAAGUCAGAUAGUUGUUAUCGGGCACCUAUGGGAAAUGUCAUAGGAGACUAAAGAUGAGACGAAAACUUUGGGACCACCACUCUUAAUCAUCCUAAUACUUGAUCUUUCCAUGGCUACCCUGAGAUAGAAUAAAUGGCUUUUGUAAAACAACUUAAACCUCAUCUCCUUAAUUGAGGUAUCCUGCUUUCUUACUCUUAUUUACGUGUCUAAGUCAGGGAGAAACAUCCCAUUAUGUCACAAAUAAGAUUAAAGGUAGUUGUAAUUAAAUUUCACCAUGUGCCCUGAGUUUUCCCACCUGAGAAUUAUAAGAAAAAAAUCAAAAGGUCUUCUCCUCUUACUAGACUACCCACCAAAUGGUCAUUACAUUUUCCUGUAGGCUGCAGAUAAAAUCUCUCUAUCAUAAGUCUCCCAAUCACCAAGUGAGAAAACACCACUCUGGGGUCCAGGGAUGUGUAGGCAAUUGAAGAGUUUCUCUUUUAAGAAUGGCAGCUCAUUAGGGUAAGUGUCCAAGAACAUAAUGAAAAAAUUGUGGUAUAUUUAUACUGGGGGAUAUGCCAGAUUAAAAAACGAACACAUUUGAGUUACAGAUAGCAACAUGGAUAAAUCUCUAAUGCAGAAUUUUAAUAAGAAAAAGGCAUAUUGCAGAAUUAUAGGUGCAGUAUAAUACCAUGUAUAUAAAGUUUAAACACAAAAACAUGCUAUAUAUCUUUUAUGGAUAUAUCCUUGUGCAGUAAAAAAUAUAAAAUAUGCAUAAGAAUGACAAAGACAAAUUUUAGAGGAUUUAUUCCCUUAGGGAGAAAAGGAAACGGCAUCACAAGGAUUACAAGAUUUGAAUUGAAUCUACAAUAUUUUAUUCCUUAAGCUGAGUAGCGGGUACAUGGGUGUUCAUAUACUCAAAACCAUUUUUGGCACAUGAAAUAUUUUAAAAUUUUUUAAAAAGCUAGAUAGUAUGAUUGACAUCUUCAGAUACUUGAAGAUCUGGCAUGUUGAUGAUGGAAAGUAUCCUAUGACUAAGUAGGUAAAGCUAUUAUGAAGGCAAAUUUUAGGUCAUUCUUAGGAAAAACCUAAAAGGGCUGUCUAAAAAUGAACAGUGUCUUCUACAUGAUUAAGGAGUAAAACAGAGUUAAGGUCUUCGGAGGUAGCAAGUCACAGUGCAAGUAGAGUUCACUUGUCUUUGUCUUGAAAGCAAAGAUUUCUUUUCUCUUGCAAAAUUCCCGGGACAUAUCCUGAUAAAGCUUUACAUCUCAGCAGCAUCACUCUGAUUGCUCUUUUUUCAGUUGGUGUCAUUGGAAGCCCCUAAACCCUAUUUAACUUCAGUGCCAUUGACUGGCACUUCCUGCCACUUACAUCUUUGCCAUUUGGCAGUGCCUGGGUUGGACAGAUCUGCCACCUGGUUCUGGUUCUGCAUUAUUGUCAUUCCUUGUGCCAGUCAUAAGGAUUCACUGGCACCCCUCUGAGAUUAGGAGUUCUCCAGGUCUGGAGAUAUUAAAAAAGAGAGAGAUGGUCAGCGAUGCUAUAGAAGGGAUUUUAGUAGUCUCUGGUAUGCUGGAGCACAUAACCUUUGAGUAUGGAUUUCCAUAUUCAUUUAUUCAAGAAAUGUUUAGUGAGUGUUUACUUUGUGCAAAGCACCUUGCUCGUUAAGCUUCUAUGGCUCUAGAAUUUGUCUUUGAAAAUGCGUCUCUAACUUUACAGAAAUGAAAAUUGAGACAUGAUGGGAAAACUUAUUUUAAGCAAACAAUAAGGCAGGCAGGCAGGCUGUGGUUUGCAGACCGACCACUUCUAGCCUUAUUGCCAAGAGCACUACGAGAGUCACAGGAACAUUUUGGAGAUAAUGUUACAUUCACAGACUUGUACAUGUCUUACAGUGAAAGACACCCCAGAGGUUAUCCAAUUCAAAUACUUCAUUUUACAGACGAGGAAACAAAAGCCUGGGGAGGUAUGUGGCUAACUGAUUGCAGAAUCUAUUCUCAGAUAUGGUAUUUCCUUCCCAACCUUGAAAGUUGUGUUCCUGAAAACCUCCAUGGAAGGAGAAAUUACACUUGAGGAACUUACGACCUUAGGAAGAAAAUAGAGUUUGGGGAGUAAGAUAGUGAGUGAAUCUGAGAAAGUUAUCAUCAUUGUUUUAUAUCUACUAAUAAAACAAUGUAGGUACCAUUGAUACCCACUUUAUUUUAUGCCGAACGCAUUUGUAAUGGUGAAUCUUGUACAGGUGAUUUUAUUUACUUCUUAGAAUUCCUUAUUAACACUUCUCUAGGCUCUCUAUACACAAUUUUUGUAAAACUUCUUGUGAGUCAUUGCCUUUUUGUGUAAAUACUGGUUACAAUGGAUUGUUUUCUGUUUCAGGUCCUGUUGUCUCUGCCUUUUUGCAUCUUUGACAUUAUCAUUGUAACUUAUAACUUCUAACCUCUACUCUGACUCAACUUGGUUGUUUCCUGAUUCCUCUCUCUCCUUCUUGCUGUUCCUUCUCUCUGCUGUCCUUUAACUGUAGCUGCUCACCAGGACUAUGCUGUAAACUUUCACCUCCUCUCACUGUUUACUCUACCUAUGUAACUAUCAUGUUUGAUAAUGAGGUCCUGCUGAAUAAGCCUGUUUGCUGUCUUUCCAGGCUGUGCUUUCCCACUCCUGCAGCUACUGCCUUAAUUCAGGUUAUCACUGUCUCUCACUAGGACCCCUGCACUAAUCUCCUUGAUUGGUCAAAGGUUUCAUUAUUUGCAUUGUGCUCUGAGUGAAAUUUUCUUAUGACGGCUUACAGUUCCCAGUGGCUGCAUGUGCCUAUAGAACACUAACUUCCUAAGCAUUUCAUCCAAGGCCCUCCACCUUAGCUCUUGUACCCUUUACUCCAGCCAUAUUUAUUGACCCUACUUGAUGGCCUAAUGUACCAGACUAUUUGGCAUCUUCAUGCCUUUGUGAACUGACUUUUCUUCAUCAGGAAUGCCCUUCACUCUGCCCCUCUCACGCUACCCAUUUCCCCUCCCACGUGCAAUCACCUGCCUGGUGAACAUCUACUCUUCCUCGAAAACUUUGCUCAUACCAUCACCUCUCCCUUGGAGGUACCACUUCCUACUCCUACUUUCUGCUCAUCUCGUACCUCAUUAAAGAGAAUAGGAGGUUCCCACCACAAAAUCUGAAAGCCUCCUGCCACAAAACCUGUCUUCUUCCCUCUGUGCAACUGAAUGUGACUCCUUGUAAUCAAAUGCUCAUCCCUCAAUUCAUGUUGGGAAUCCCAUCUCUCUCACUUUCUCAAGAAGUUCAAUGCUUCUGUCAGACUGUCUCCAGUCAAUUAUUCCCAUCAGCAUAUAAACAUAAUCCAGUAUUACUGUCCUAACCAAUACUCCAUAUUGAUCCACAUCCCUUUCCAGCUACCAUUCUUUUCUGUCUUUCACAAUAAAAUUCCAUAAAAUAGUUGUGUACACACAGCACUUUUAUGUUUUCACUUCACAGUCACUUUGGAAUUCACUUCAAAUUGGCAUUCACCCACAUGACCCAGUUGGUCACUAAUGACCUUUAUAGUGCUAUGUCCACAUUUUCAUCUCACUAGAACUUUCAGCAACAUCCAACAAUUGACCAUUCUCUUCUCAAAAUUGGCCAUUCUCUUCUUGAAAUUGUUCUUGGCUUACAUGAUUCCAUAUUUCCCUGGUCUUUUAUCUGCUUCUCUACCUGCUCCUCCUAAGCCUCUGUUGUGUCUUUUCUUCCACUUUCUAUAAUACCUCUAAGUAUUGAAUUUCCUCAGUAUUCUGCUCUGAACCCCAUGCCUUAUGUUUCCAUAAAUAAUCUCAUUCAUCCUCAUGGCUUAAAAUACCAAUUCCAAGCCAAUGACUCCUAUGUCUGUAUCUCUAGUCCUAACCUCUCCUCUGACCUCCUGACUUAUACUCUUGUCUUUAUAACACCCACUUAUGAAUGCUUCAUGGACAUCUCACAUAAAUAUAUCCAAGACUGCAUUUUUAUUUCCCUCUGAAAACCUAGUCCUCCUUCCAUCCUCCCCACCUCCCUUUUUUGGCAACAUUAUCCACGCUGUUGAUCAGGUCUGGAUCCUGGGAGUCACUAAUUAUUUCUCCCUGUAUUUCUUCCUCUAGUCCAAUUCGUCACUAAGUCUGAUCAUCUGUCUCCUAAAUGCAGCAUAAGGAGAUCCACUUUUCUUUAUCGUUACUGCCACAUUGUAGUUUGAUCUACUAUUAUUUUAAACUUAACAACCACAAUACCUUCAAACUGAUCUCCAUGCACACAGAACACAGUGACUCUCAUCCUUAAUUGAAUCUCUACACAGCCACAGAAACAGUCUUUCUUGAAACAUAAAUCCCAGCAUGACACUGCCUGACAUGCAAUCUCUCUUUGCACUUUGUCUUAGUCCAGGUACAUCAGUGUUGCUAUAAGUCCUGUUGGUCAGCCUCCUGCCCCGUACCCUAAGCUCAUCUUACAUCAGCGAGUCCUCACUCUCCACUCUCUAGACUGACUCCUGAUGUUUUCUCAAGCAAGUUGAUUUCUUUCUCAUCUUAAUCCUUCACAGGUGGUACAUAGUGCUUCCCGAGUUUAGAUCUCCACUCUCCCUUAUGUUCUCAUAAAGGAUUCAUAUGUCCUUUAGGUCUUGGCUUAAAUGCCAUCUAUUCAGAGAAGCCUUCCCUGGCGACCUUAUCUGAGUCAAUCUUCCAUUGUUAUAUUGUUAUAUUGAUUUGCUUUGUUUCUUGCUACUUCUUCUACUUGACUCGGUAGAAGGCUCUGCAUAAUUGACCAAAAUAUAUACAGUGUUUUUCAGAGUGCUAGUCACCUAUUAGUACUGAAGAAUUAUUUGUUGAAUAACUUAAUGAUUUUUUUGCAGUUACACGAGUGUUGUUUUGAUUGACUGAAAAUAGAUUGCCUAAGAUGACAUGAAAGAUCAAAGGUGAAGAGUGGAAGAUAGCACCACUUUGGGUUAAAAGUUUACUUAAGUCAGCAACUCCUCAAGAAACAGCUACCAGCAUUCCUGGGACUAUUAUGCCCUGGUCUACUUGUAGCCUGUUUGUAUUCCAGCCUACUUUGGCACCUUGCCGUCUCUGCUUACCGACUUUCUGCAUAAGAGUGAAAUAGAAAGUGACUUGGAACCAUGUAUACCUAAAGUGUGACAUUUAAAAAAACGUCCUCAGAAAAACUAAUAUCCUGGUUAUUUUUGAAUGUGCUAAGAGACUCUUUUUUUUAAUCUUGUUUUUUUAUUUUGAAUAUAGAGCACAUUGAGGUUUAAAAUGGAAAAUUCUAUUAAAAAUAAAAGGCAUACGUUUACAUAUCUUACAAUUACCUCUGCUUCUGUCCCUCCCAUUCCUUAUGAG